rnacentral:rRNA from 1 species
GAUGAACGCUGGCGGCGUGCCUAAUACAUGCAAGUCGAGCGAACAGACGAGGAUCUUGCUCCUCUGACGUUAGCGGCGGACGGGUGAGUAGCACGUGGAUAACCUACCUAUAAGACUGGGAUAACUUCGGGAAACCGGAGCUAAUACCGGGUAAUAUAUUGAACCGCAUGGUUCAAUAGUGAAAGACGGUUUUGCUGUCACUUAUAGAUGGAUCCGCGCCGCAUUAGCUAGUUGGUAAGGUAACGGCUUAACAAGGCAACGAUGCGUAGCCGACGUGAGAGGGUGAUCGGCCACAGUGGAACUGAGACAACGUCCGGACUGCGACGGGGGGCAGAAGUAGGGAAGAGGCAGCAAUGGGGGAAAGCGUGCAGGAGGAGCGACCCGGGAGUGGUGAAGGUCUGUGGAUCGUAAAACUCUGUUAGUAGGGAAGAACAAAUGUGUAAGUAACUAUGCACGUCGUGACGGUACCUAAUCAGAAAGCCACGGCUAACUACGUG